rnacentral:rRNA from 1 species
AUUGAACGCUGGCGGCAGGCCUAACACAUGCAAGUCGAGCGGAUGAAGGGAGCUUGCUCCUGGAUUCAGCUGCGGACGGGUGAGUAAUGCCUAGGAAUCUGCCUGGUAGUGGGGGAUAACGUCCGGAAACGGGCGCUAGUACCGCAUACGUCCUUAUGGAGAAAGUGGGGGAUCUUCGGACCUCACGCUAUCAGAUGAGCCUAGGUCGGAUUAGCUAGUUGGUGGGGUAAAGGCCUACCAAGGCGACGAUCCGUAACUGGUCUGAGAGGAUGAUCAGUCACACUGGAACUGAGACACGGUCCAGACUCCUACGGGAGGCAGCAGUGGGGAAUAUUGGACAAUGGGCGAAAGCCUGAUCCAGCCAUGCCGCGUGUGUGAAGAAGGUCUUCGGAUUGUAAAGCACUUUAAGUUGGGAAGAAGAGCAGUAAGUUAAUACCUUGCUGUUUUGACGUUACCAACAGAAUAAGCACCGGCUAACUUCGUG